AAAGGUUUAAUGUUGGGGCAAAUUGGCAAGUGUCCCGAGUCGCACAAGUAAUAUAAAAUGGUAAGAUCAAAUAUUGUAUCCCAGAGGACUUUCGGCUCUGAACAGUCGUGUGAAAACAAGAUUAAUUAAGACUUAGAAUAAAAGAGAUCAUGGGUUGUUGUUAAGUCCCCGAUAAGUGUACCAGAUCGUUAUCAAGUAAUAUAAAAUGGGUAAGUCCAAGUAUCGUUUUCUAAAGGAAUCUUAGGCCUUAACUUUCAUGUAAAGAGAUCGCAUAAGACUUGAGAAAAGAAUUAAAUUUAGGUUUUUGAAUGCAAGAAAAAUAAACAUGAAAGAUGCAAUGAAUCAAUUGGCUAGAAGAAACUAUAGAUUAAUGGAGUUGUUGGGGUUUACAAUUUCAUCUUAUCCACCC
rnacentral:lncRNA from 1 species